UGGAACUCAGUAGGAACUAACUUUACCCUUCACUAUGAACCUUUGUCAGAUUCCUUCAAGGUGUGCUAAGCAGAAUGGUGGAUUAACUGUAAGGAUAAGUCUCCAUUAUGGUGUCCAAUCCAAUCUUCUGUUCCACCUGCUCAAAUGCUCUGCCAGUCAAAACCACAGAGCUGGAGCCAUUUGUUCUGGAUGCUCUAACGAUAUAGGCCACUCCUGUAACUGAAUAAUGAAAGUGGCUCAACCAUUGCAAAUCACUCCCGAGCUUGGAAACUUUUGUUCCUGCAGCCAAGCUGACCUGGAUUUUACUUCAAAAAUUGGAAGGGAAACGGACUGCAUCUUAUUACCAAUGCCCAGGAGCCAUCUGAUCUUUCUUUCUUUUCUUCCUUCUUAAAAUUUCCUUUCUCUUGAGUUCAUGAUUCUUUCUUGGCAAUAAAAUAGGAGCCCCGUAGUAAAAUUUUAUC